rnacentral:rRNA from 1 species
AGAGUUUGAUCCUGGCUCAGGAUUAACGUUGGUAGUAUGCCUAACACAUGCAAGUCGAGCGGAGAGUAGCAAUACUUUUAGCGGCGAACGGGUGAGUAAUACUUAUCUUACUUGCCAAUUAGUGGGGAAUAACUAUGGGAAACCAUGGCUAAUACCGUAUUUGUUGCUUCGGCAAUGAAAGGGGGUCGCAAGACUUUCGCUAAUUGAUAGGGAUAAGCCGUAUUAGUUAGUUGGUGGGGUAAUGGCCUACCAAGACGAUGAUGCGUAGCCAGCCUGAGAGGGUGAAUGGCCACAAGGGAACUGAGACACGGUCCCUACUCCUAUGGGAGGCAGCAGUGAGGAAUUUUCGGCAAUGGGGGCAACCCUGACCGAGCAAUACUACGUGAAGGAGGAAGGUCUAAGGAUUGUAAACUUCUGUUAGCGCGGAAGAAGGACUAAACGUGAGUUUAGUUUUGACGGUACGCGCAGAGAAAGCCACGACUAACUAUGUGCCAGCAGUCGCGGUAAGACAUAGGUGGCGAACGUUAUCCGGAAUUAUUGGGCGUAAAGGAUGCGUAGAUGGUGCGAUAAGUUAUCAGUGGGAAAUCGGGGCUUAACCUCGUGGAAGCUGGUAAUACUGUCAUACUUGAGUGCAGGAGAAGUUAACGGAACUCUAUGUGGAGCGGUAAAAUGUGACGAUAUAUAGAAGAACACCAAUAAGGCGAAGGCAGUUAACUAUUCUGUUACUGACAUUGAGGCAUGAAAGCGUGGGGAGCAAAACGGAUUAGAUACCCGUGUAGUCCACGCCCUAAACGAUGAGUGCUAGAUAUUGGGAACUAGAUUCUCAGUGUCGCUAGUUAACACGGUAAGCACUCGCUGGGUAGUACGAUCGCAAGGUUGAAACUCAAAGGAAUUGACGGGACUCGCACAAGCAGUGGAGC